AGGUUUCAUUGAUUUUAUAGUAGAGCCAACAUUUUCCCUUCUGACAGACUCAACAGAGAAAAUUAUUAUUCCUCUUAUAGAGGAAGCCUCAAAAGCAGAAACUUCUUCCUAUGGGGCAAGCAGACUAUCCAAUAUGAAAGGCCCCAUGAACGAUGGAACCUAUUUCCCAGACUACUCCCUUGAAAGUGUGGACCUAAAGAGCUUCAAAAACAACCUGGUGGACAUCAUCCAGCAGAACAAAGAGAGGUGGAAAGAGUUAGCUGCACAAGGGUGUGAAAAAGCUGCCACUGGAACAAUAAGGAGUAACCCCAACUGAAUGUUACCUUUAUCCUUCUUUGCCUCUCUGGGGAAAACCUGGAUCCAUGUCCAUGGGCAUCAUCAGGAAACAAGGCUGAGUGGCUUCCCAAACUCUUUUCCCAAAUUCUUUUCCCAGAAAGUCUAUUCUCAAACUUAGACUUAUAGGGCACUAGGCUUCCUUAUUGAGUAUUUUCAAAUCACCUUUAGAACUGAGAGAUGAUAAGCUGCUGAGGAAAAAUAAAUACGCUUGUCAGCCUAAGCAUCACAUUCCAAACCAGCCACACGGCAGACCUUCCACCCCCAGAGGCCUCCGUCGCUCUGUGACAUGUCCCUGCGCUUGACCUCACAGAUCCCACUGGACUUCAGGCACGUGUUUUUUCCUGUUUACCAGAAAUCCCUAUUAUGCCUCAGCAGUGCUUCUAACUAUUCCGUAUCUGUUGCUUAGAGCAAAUAAAAAUAGAUAUUUUGAAAAGAAUGAAAA